CAUUCUUAAAGAAAGGGUUAAAUGUACCUUUUCAGGGAUUACAAAAUGCUUUGUUCACCUAAAUCAUUACCUACUAUAUAACCCCAUUAAAGUACACUUCAAAAUUCCAUAUUCAAUUGCAACAGUACCUUUCACCCUCUAAUUCUAACAGGUAGUCAAUCUUCCUCGUGUAUCUGUUGUCUUCUCAUUCCUGUGAAAAUAUACUGCUUCUUUCAACUAGUAUACAAACUUAUUUAAAAAAACGUCUUAUAUCAGAAUGUGAGUCAAUGGAUAUUCACGCAAGAAUUCAAGAAUUCAAGGAUUCAAGCAAGAAAAUUCCGUAAACAUCUUAGCAACGUGACUCUAAAAAAGUCCGGUAUGACAUUUCUCAAGAAUAUCAUACGAAUAUUUCCCUACUUCGAUCCGUCGUUAUGCAUUGUCGCAAUCAACGAUAUUAAAGGGAUUGUCAAGAGAAUAGGUUCAAGUAUGUUAAGGCUAAUCAUUCUUUCCUUUUUGGCAUGAUCCAAGAAACGAUACGUAAACGUAAUGAUAUUCCAUAAGUGGUUCUACUCUUAGCAGUUAAGGAUGUCUAUGUUAUUCAUUCCCGUAAAGUGAUAUUCAAGCAUGUCUAAAUAAGUAUCUAGUUCUCUAUUGAGGUAUUUGAUAAAGAUGUUAAUGUUUAUAAUAUAGUGAUGCAUGUACAUGCAUCUUCAUGCAUUUCCACCGUGCUACGGCCGGUCAGGCAGUUACUACCGGUUGGGCAGUUAUGUAUCAUUAUUUAUCACCGGUUGGGUAGCCAUGCAUAUUCAUUUAUCACCGCACUACGGCCGGUCGGGUAGUCAUGCAUUUACCAUCGAGUUAUGGCCGGUUGGACAGUUACAUAUUUACCACCGAGGUACGGCCGGUCGGGCAGUCAUGCAUUUACCACCGCGCUACGGACGGUCGGGCAGUUACCACUGAUCAGUUGGGCAGUCAUGCAUCAUACGAAAUGGAUAAUAGAAAUAGUCUCAAAGAGAAGCACUAUGUAUGUAAAUAUAAUAAGUAUGCAUAUACGGUGGCACUUCAGAGAUUCAGGUUAAUUCUUAUAUGUCUUUAAUUAAGGUUGACUUAUUGUUAUGUUUUAGUUCUACCUUACAUACUCAGUACAAUAUUCGUACUAACGUCCUUUUGUUGGGGACGCUGCAUUCAUGCUUGCAGGUAUAGAUAAUCAGUUUGACGAGCCCUCAUAGUAGACGAGAUUGGCAUUCAGCGAAGGCUCAAUAAGACUCCACCUCAUUCGGAGUGCAGCCGAGUCUAUGAGUCAUCGUGUCAGAGUUUUGCUACAGAUUUAUGGGUAGGCCGGUACCCUGUCCCAUUUAUGUCAAAUAAUCUUAGAGGCUUUGUAGAUAGAGGUUCCUUUUGUACAAUAUGUCAGAGGUCUUGACGGUCCAAUGUAUUCAUAUUUUAAGAACGAUGUUUCAUUAAUACAAAGUUAUGGCCCACUUAUAGUUAUACAUUACGAGUUGUGGCCAUGGUGGCCCAUGAUAGUUACAAAGAAAAAACAAGAGUUGCAGAGUGGUUCGCUCGGGCCAGCACGGCAUCGAGUGCCAGCCACGCCUCCCCAGGUUUGGGCGCGUGACACUCCUAUUGACCUCUAUGCUUGUGCCUAUGUUCAUCAUACUUCUGCUAGUUAAGUAAUGCCCAUGAAUCCUUACAUGUUCUUUAGUUGAGAAAGUUUCAUGUUUAAAUUACUAUGUUCAUUGCUGAAAACUUCUCUUGAUAGAUUGAAUCAUGUCCGCCUUAAUAACUCAGCAACUUGAGUGAAUAAUGCUGAACAUAGGAUCGAAAAAGUGGAAAGCCUACUGGUAACCUGGAUAGUAAGGUCACUCACAUGUUUAAGUAAACUCAUUAAGAAAUGUUUGCCAUGUUCUCACCCAUUAAGAAUGAACAUCCCUACCCAUUGUCUCAUAUCUGGUUGAUAUUUUUAUCUAUAAGGAACUUAAUCAGGAAUUUGGAAUUAUUUGAAAACCCGAUAGACUGCAACUAGAUAUCAUGCUAUUAGCUUUGAACUAGACUAGAAUUGACCUUUCUACUUACAUUGAUAUCUCUGCUGGUUGUUAUCUUUGGGAAGCCUGAACAAGUCUGUUAGUACAGGUGUUUAGUGAAGUAAGGUCUCAGCCAUGUAUAUGUUUGCCUUAGACUAUUCUGAGGAUUACUAAAAUGUCUGUUGAAGUACUCUGAACCUAAUUAAGGAUCCUAAAAUGUUGAACCCUUAGUAGAAUUAAUGAAACUAAUGCAUAUGUCUCUCUUUUCCACCUAUUAAUGCUUAGAUCAUUUAAUCAGGCACCUCUGAACAUGAAUUGGUUAAAUACAACACUUAUAUUCUGAUAAUAUACUACUAGCCCUCUUUACAACCGCGUAGCUAUUGGGCAUUUGGUCAUCACGUUUGUGACUGUCAUGUCACGUUUGCAUAGACGUUUUUGGUAACUGGGCAUUUUGUUCUUCGCGGUUCGCGAAGCUUUUUCCGCGAUAACGAUGUAUACACCUGGGUAGUCUAUUUAACAUCUCUAUUUCGUGGGUUUGGUUAUUAUAUCACAUUUUAAGUUAGAGAGCUCGAUUUUGGGCGAUUAUGGAGGGGAUUUUCAUAAUUUGGAAUGGGGUAAGUACUUUUGACUCGGAUUAUUCAUUAUUCAUGAUUCCAUCUUUGUUUUAGCAUUUAAUUAGUAAAUUAAAUUGAAGAAAUAGGGUAUUUUAGUAAAAACCUUCCAAAAGUGAAAAUUGAGGAUUUAAAGGUCAAUUUGAGGUCGGAAUUGGAUGAAAUUGGUAUAGUUGAACUCGUAAUAUAAUGGGUGUUCGUAAUUUGUGAGUUUGACCAGGUUCUAAGGUGUGGGCCACGGGUUGACUUUUUGAUUUUGAUAAAGAUCGAAUCUUUAUUGUUUGAAGUGGUUUCCUAAGGCAUUAUUUGAUGAUAUUAAGUUGUUUGUGACUAUAUUUGAGUCGUUCGGAGGCCGAUUCGAGUGGGAAGGGCUUUUUGGAGUAUUAAUUUGCACAUUUUGAGGUAAGUAGCAUUUCUAAACUUGUAUGUGAGGGUAAUUAUCCCUGGGAACUAUGUUAUUUGUGAUGUGUUGGGGUGACACACAUGCUAAGUAACGGGCGUGUGUGCGUGCACCGGAGUAUUUAUGAUACGGGUAGACUUUAGACUAUUUCUGGCCUUACUUUGCUAUCACACCUUUUUAUAUCCACGUUUUUACCUACUUUGUUGAUUAUCUGAACUAUGGUUCAUGUUAUAAAUCAUGUUUAGGCUAUGUGAUUAAUUGGUUGAGACGUAAUGGAGCUAUUUCUGUUGUUUUGAGCUAUAUGUCUUAGCUGUAGUUAUACACCCAGUCAUGAUUCUUCAUUUGCAUAUCCUAUCUCAGUCCCUAUACUUUAUUCAUUGUUAUAUCAUGAUAUUGUUGAUUUCCAUAUGUGAUACUAUUUGCGCUGAGUGAUAUGAGAUUGUGAGCCCUUGAGACUUGAGAGGUUGAUGUUUGAGGAAAGACUUAGAGCUGUGUUGAGAGUGUUAUUUGGAUCAGGUUCCACGCUGCAAUAGGCCAUAUUGGCUUUUGAUUCGUGCUUGGGCAGAAUCCGCUUCUCCAGAGCCUGACUUGCCAGCAGUGAGUGUAGACACAAUAAUAUAUACACGUUCUUUGGUGAGGGGUAUUGAUACUAGGCACCCAUAUAGUUCUAAGUGAUUGUGUGUGUGUGAUUAAGUGGGCAUUUGAGUCAAGUUCCUUCAGAGUGCUGAGAGUGAGAGUACUUGAGGAUAUCACUAUGAAAUCAUUUGCUUGACAUGCAUAUCAGACUUGUAGGCAUAGAGAUGUACUUUUCCUCAUGCUAGCUGGUAAAAAUAUUUAGUAUCCGUGUGGGGCUAUAACUUUUAUACUUGGAAGUAUGUCUAUAUUUCUAUAAUGUGAAUGAGCUAAAUAUGAUAAUUCCUUUGAGCUAUUUAUUGCUACUGUCAUCAUUAUAUCCUGCGUUGUUAUUGAUAUUGGUCUCUGACUGUUUCGUCUGAGCUCGUCACUGCUUUCAGCCCAAGGUUAGGUUUAUUACUUAUUGAGUUUAUGGGGUUGAAUGUACUCAUACUACACUCUACACUUCGUGUGCAGAUCCAUGUACUUCCAGAUGUGGUGAUUGCUAGAGUUGUGUUGGUACCAGUACUUGAGAGACUACGAGGUAGCUGUUAUUACGUCUAUAGACCAUGAAGUUCUCUUUCAUUUAUUUCCUUUGUUACUAUUCUAUUGUCCAGGCAGUUAUAUUGAGGAAUUGGGUUUGUAUUUUGAUAUUUAGUAGUGCUCAUGUACUCGUUAACACAAGAUCUUUGGGAUGCUUGUAGCAGUAUUGUUGUUGUUUUCAUUAGUUAUUUCAGAAUAUUUCUUUUAUUGAGUUUAUUAAAUCAUGUUUAUUCAAAAUUGUUGUUAUUGUGUGACUGAUGGCUUGCCUAGAAAGUAGUGUUAGGCGUCGUCGCGGCUCCGAUGGGAGUUGAGUCAUGACAAGUUGGUGUUAGAGCACUAGGUUGCUUAGGUCUCGCGAGUCAUAAGAAAAUUUAGUAGAGUCUUGCAGGUCGGUACAGAGAUGUCUAUACUUAUCUUUGAGAGGCUACCGAACUAUUAGAAAAACUUCACUUUCUUAUAUUCUAGUCGUGCGGAUUUGCUAUUUUCGAAGUUUGAACAUUGACUCUUCUAUUCUCUCACAUAUGGUGAGGACAUGUGCAACCGGAUCAGGCAAAUGGCCACCAAUACCACCAGUUAGGGCCACGAGAGGCUGGGGCCGCGGUAGAGGCCGAGGUGGGGCUUGAACUACAACUAGGGUAGCACUUGUGAAGGUACCAGUUGCUCGGAGCAGGUUCCAGAUACUGUUGAGCCGGUGGGACAAGCUCAAGCACCGACAGUGCCUAUUGUCAUUCCUAGCCUUCAGGAGGUAUUAGCUCAGAUUUUGAAUGUGUGCAUGAGCCUGGAUCAAGCGGUUUCGAUUCCAGUUGCACCAGCUACCUCACAGGCUGGGGGUGGUGCCCAGACUCCUAUCGCCCGUACUCUAAAGCAGCGAGCCCAGGGUUAUCAGAUGCUAGGAGUGUUACCAGUUUAGUUAAUUGUUGUUGCUCGGGCUGAGGUUGGUCCACCUAUGACUGAUGAGGAGCAGAAGAGAUUGGAACGGUUUAGGAGGCUUAAACUACUAUAGUUCAGCGGAGAGGAGUCAGACAAUGCUCAGAACUUUCUAGAUCGAUAUCAGCGGAUUCUUUGCAUAACGGGUAUUUUGGACACCGGUGGAGUUGCAUUUACUACUAUUCAGUUGGCAGGGACAACCUAUAAAUUGUGGAAGGCUUAUGAGUUAAGCAAAACAGCUGGCGCAGCAGCACUUUCGUGGCAUGAGUUCUUAGUUCUCUUUUUAGAGAAGUUUGUUCUCCAGACUCGCAGAGAAGAGCUGCGUAGAGAUUUUGAGCAGUUGUGCCAGGGAGAUAUGAUUGUGGCUUAGUAUAAGAUGAGAUUUGUAGAUUUGGAUCAUCAUGCAGUAUGGCUAGUUCCCGCUGAGAGAGAGGAUAUGGAGGUUCAUUGAUGGCCUCAACUAUGGUCUACGUUACAGUUUGGCUUGAAAGGCUUAGACGGAUUCUAGGUUUGACUAGGUGGUCGAUAUUAACAGGUGCUUGGACCAGGUUCACAGGCUUGGGUGUGAGCAGCGGGAGGGCCAGAGGUUUCGUGGUUCAGGUGGUUUUGGUAGACCUCAUAUAUAGGUCAGUCACAUCACAACAUGGGUCAUUCUUAUAGGCCCGCUCAGAUGGCUCGUCAGGUUCCUCGUGGUUUAUCAGCUAGCCAUGGUUCAUACAACACUCGUCUGGUUCAGUCAUCUUUCAAUGCACUCUCAGCACAGAGUUUGUACUGUGCUCCAUCAAUUUAGGGUUCGUAGUACCGGGUUCUUCCAGUUGUUAUUCUAGUUCUCGGAGUCCAAUCAGGUCCCGCAGUCAUCCUUAGGUCGAGAUUGCUACCAGUGUGGGGAGUUGGGGCAUGUGAGGAGGUUUUGCCCCUGUUUUAUUGGAGGUCCCGUGUAGCAGAGAGGUCAGGCUAUGACUCCCACACCAGUUACUACACCACCUACUCGGCCAGCUCGGGGUGGAGGUCGUACGAGUUGAGGUCACCCUAGAGGGGGAUGUCCGUCAAGUGGUGGUCAGGCUUGAUGCUAUGCUUUUUCCGCUAGGCCAGAGGUAGUUUCUUCCGAUGCUGUGAUCACAUGUAUUGUUUCAGUGUGCCACAGGGAUGCUUUAGUGUAUUUGACCCUGAUUCCACUUAUUCAUAUGUGUCAUCAUACAUUACUAGUUAUUUAGAUAUGGCUCGUGAUUAUUUAGUUAUGCAUGUUCAUGUAUCUACGCCGGUUGGUGAUUCUAUUAUUGUAGAUCGUGUGUAUCGAUCGUGUAUGGUGACUAUUGUGGGGUUAUGAGACCAUAGUUGAUCUUUUACUGCUUAGCAUGGUUGAUUUUGAUGUAAUUCUGGGCAUGGAUUAGUUUUUGCCAUAUCACGCUAUCCUUGAUUGUCCCGCUAAAAUUGUGAUGUUGGUAAUACCGGAGGUGCCGAGGUUAGAGUGGAGAGCCUCCCUGGAUCAUGUUCCUAGUAGAAUGAUUUCACAUUUGAAGGUUCAACGGAUGGUUGAGAAGGGAUGUUUGGUGUACUUCGCCUUCUUGAGGUAUAUUAGUGUUGAUACUCCUACCGUUGAGUUAGUUUUGGUAGUGAAAGACUUACCUGAUGUGUUUCAAGCAGACCUACCAUGCAUGCCACCCGACAAGAACAUUGAUAUUGGUAUUCAUAUGGUGCCAAGCACUCAGCCCAUCUCUAUUUCACCGUAUCGCAUGACCCCUAUAAAGUUGAAAGAGUUGAAGGAAUAGUUACAAGAGCUACUUGAUAAGGGCUUUAUGAGGCCUAGCAUGUCCCCUUGGGGUAUGUCAGUUCUAUUUGUGAAGAAGAAGGAUGGUACUAUGAGAAUGUGUAUUGACUUCAGGCAGUUGAGCAGAGUUACAAUUAAGAACAAAUACCCUCCGCAUUGAUGUCUUAUUUGAUCAGCUUUAGGGUGCUAGAGUAUUCUCGAAGAUUGAUUUGAGGUCGGGGUAUCAUCAGCCAAAGAUCCAGUAUUCAGAUAUUUUGAAGACGGCUUUUAGGACACAAUAUGGUCACUAUGAGAUUCUGGUAAUGUCCUUUGGGUUGACCAAUGCCCUAGCGGCCUUUAUGCACUUGAUGAACACUUUGUUCCAGCCAUAUCUUAAUUCCUUUGUCAUAGUAUUCAUUGAUGAUAUAUUGGUGUAUUCAUACAGCUAGGAGGAUCACGAGCAGUACCUUAGGAUCAUACUCCAGAAUUUGAGGGAGAAGAAGUUAUAUGCUAAUUCUCCAAGUGUGAUUUUUGGCUUGAUUUGGUGGCAUUUUUGGGGCACGUAGUGUCCAGUAAGGGGAUUAAGGUAGAUCCGAAGAAGAUUGAGGCAGUUCAGAGUUGGCCUAGACCGUCUUCUGCUACUAAGAUCCAGAGUUUCCUUAGUUUGGUCGGGUAUUAUCGUUGUUUUGUGAAGGGUUUCUCGCCCAUUGUUACACCUUUCACUAGAUUGACCCAUAAGGAUGCCCUAUUCAGGUGGUUUAAGAAGUGUGAGGAGAGCUUUUAGAAGCUCAAGACUACCUUGACUACAGCUCCAGUUCUAGUUUUGCCUUCGGGGUCCGUUUCUUAUACAGUUUAUCGUGAUGCUUCACGGAUUGGCAUUGGAUGUGUGUUGAUGCAGGAGGGAAGAGUAAUUGCUUAUGCUUCGCGUCAAUUGAAUCUUCAUGAGAAGAACUACCAUAUACAUGAUUUGGAGUUAGCAUCCAUUGUUCACAAAUUGAAGAUUUGGAGGUACUAUCUCUACGGCGUGUCUUGUAGGGUAUUCGUAGAUAACAGGAGUCUACAACACUUAUUCAAGCAAAAGGAUCUGAAGUUGACGCAACAUAGGUGGUUAGAGCUACUAAAGGAGUAUGAUAUUACCAUUCAUUAUCACCCGGGGAAGGCCAAUGUAGUGGCCGAUGCUUUGAGUAGGAAGGCUGAGAGCAUGGGGAGUCUUGCUUAUAUAACAAUUGGGGAGAGACCGUUAACAUUGGAUGUUCAGGUUUUGGACAAUCGGUUUGUGAGGUUGGAUAUUAUGGAGCCUAGCCGGGUUCUUGCUUGCGUUGUUUCACGAUAUUCUUUGUUUGAGAGCAUCAAGGCGCAUUAGUAUGAUGAUGCCCACUUGCUUGUCUUGAAGGACACGGUGCAGCAUGGUGAUUCCAAGGAGGUUACUAUUGGUGAUUAUGGGGUAUUGAGGAUGCAGGGUCGGAUUUGUGUUCCAAAUGUGGAUGGUUUUGCGUGAGUUGAUACUUGAGGAGGCCUAUAGUUUGCGGUAUUCCAUUCAUCCGAGUACCACAAAGAUGCACCAGGAUUUGAGGUAGCAUUAUUGGUGGCCGAGGAUGAAGAAAGAUAUUAUUGAGCAAGUUGCUCUGCAUUUACACACCAUAAUGGAUAACGUGCCAUACGAAAUAUUAUUAUUAUUAUUAUUAUUAUUAUUAUUAUUAUUAUUAUAUAAUAAUAAUAUUUUUUAUUUUUACAGUAAUAGUAUAUUGUUCUAAAUAAUAUGUAUUAACAGUAACAGUAGAAACACACGAUGAAAGCAAAGUAAUAGACCCAACUUAUAUAAAUAACUAGUGUAACGGUCCGCGCUUCGCGCGGUUAUUAACAAAAAAAAAUUGCAUUUUAUUGACAUAAUAAUGCAUUUAAAUUAUUACGUGAAAUCUUCUUCAAAAAUCUCUGUAAUACAACCAUGAUAUGCUUCUUUUCGGUCAUUACUCAUUACUACUGUUGUCUCUUGGCAAAGGCCUUUAAGAGGCUGAUAAGGCAAGACAACAUUUGCAUUGUUAUUGAUAAAAUCGGGAGCCAGUUUGAUUAAGGAUAAGUUUCUACAAUCUUAUUUACUAAUUUCAAUGCCUACUCCCUCAUAAAUCUGAGACAGUAAGAUACAUAAAAUAAAUUUUUAGGGUCCAUAAAGUGCCCAAAAUUCAGUUUCUAUAAAAUAUUUCGAAAAAUUAUCACGCAGAUCACGAUCAUGACAAAAAAAAAAAAAAAAAAGAAAUAAAGAAAAAUAUCUUCUGUUAAAUUCCCAUAUCGCCAAGUAAAAUCAUCUUUAAGACUCAACUUUAUGAUAUAUGUGAUUCAAACUUAGAAUGCAUACUAUGCUAAAGGUAAAUUAAUACUACUAAAUAAGUAUCAAGUAAAUUCAUCAUACUGUAAUAAACCCAAAAGAAUCAUCUAUUCAAGUCUUUGUUUGAAUUUACAUACACAAAUAUUCAUAACAUGCCACAGAAAAAAUAUAUCAAACGGAUAUCAAAAUCGACCAUCGGCUACAAAUACAUUAAAAAUAUUCACAUAUACAAGUUCAUAUUUUUGCAUACAAUAUUAACCAUUUCUACUCCCACAUGGACCUUUGAAUUUCUUCUGCAUUGCUUAUGUGGAUUACUUAUAGAGAAGUUCUAAUUGGCCGUGACUUUCUAUCUAGUGGUUAUCAUAUUUGCGCCCGUCAAUAUUUGUUCUUUCAGCUUGAGAAGCACAAACUCCCGGCAUUUGAGGCAAUAUAUUUUUUUAAUAUCACAUAAGACUAAUAAACAUUAUUGAUAGAAAGUGAUGUCGAUAUUUAACAACAAUCAGGAGCACAAACUCUAAUGAAGUUCAAAUAUUGUUUUACAUGCUCUCCUUGGCAGCUCUUCGGCUCCAUUUUCUUCCCAAAAAAUAUUGAAAAAAUGAGACUUUGAUAAUGGAGAGGAGAGUCCUCUCUAUAGUUAUUUCUUUUAACAAAUGCACACUAAAAGAAGUUAUAAAUAAUUAUAGAAAGGAAAAAGGGAAAUACGUAUAAAAUAAAGAAAGAUAAAUACCUUUGAUGGCCUAAUUUGCAUAUGCUUCGCAUUGUUGGAGGCAACAAAGUAGAGGGGCUUAUAUGAGCCAAAAAAGCAAGGCCGUUACUAUUUAUUGUGACUCUUCACUCUUUUUCUAUCCCCACUAAUACAACUCUUCAUUGCUUUCUUUAUUAGCACAAUUAGUAAAUAAAUAAAUAAGAACGGGCAAGGCAACUGAAGGGGUAUAUAACCAAUGUGCACUUCAAUUAUAAGUUAAUUAAUUCAUUUCUCUCUUUUUAUAUUCCAUAACUGAAUUCUCUUCAUAACAAAGUAGUAAUUGCACUUUUUUGUAUAUUCCAUAACUGAAAUCUCCUCAUCCAUAAGCCUCAUCAGUUUCGUUAUUAGUUCUAGGUAGUAAAUAAUUUUUUUGUAUUAAAAUUAGAAAAAAAAUCUGAAAAAACCAGAAAAAAGAUAAAUAUGAAAGUUGGCCAUAUAGGGAUGCCACAUCA
rnacentral:lncRNA from 1 species